rnacentral:misc_RNA from 1 species
AUGCUCUAUAGAUGAUGAGAAGGUGUUCAAAUAAUAUAUCUUUAGAAAUCAACUCCCUUUUGGGGUUGAAUCGGGGGAUGGUGGAUUGACUCACUCAUCACGAAAUCUCCGAAACUAUAACAGCCACAAAUUUGACAUUUGGCAGGUUGGUUUCUUAUAGGGCGUACAUACCUGCUAAGAACGGAUUUUACGAAACUCGACCCCUAAGGAGAUAAAACGGGGGUUGGAAAUUUGUAUGAAAGUUCUAUGUCUUUGAAGUAAGAGACUUGAAAUUUAAAAUAUAUGCUCUAUAGAUGGUGAG